CAAGUGCUUUUCUCUCGAAGCCAGCUGUAGUUCAGGGGGAAAGGAGGAGGAGGCUGAUGUGAUGUGGGGAAAUGUUUAUGAUGUCCAG